CGAAAGCAGAGAAGCGCCAGCCCCGGCCGCCCGGGUGGAGCGCUGGGCAGCCGAGUUUCCCACCCUCCUCAAUCCGGAGAGUCCGCGCGGGGCUUUUCCUAAUAAAUAGCCAGGCACCCGCUGCCCUCGCGCUGCGUACGGGAGCACGUGCCCCCCGGGAGGUGGGCGCCCGCCAGGUGCCCCGGGAACGAGCCUAGGAACCGGGUCCGCCGAGUGCGGCUCUCGGGGCGGCUAGGCGUGCGGGUGGCUGGGCAGCGCUCCCAGGGACCGGCCUCUCUCCGGAGAAAGUAAGGAAUUCUGCUCCUGGGCAGGUAAUACCGGAAACAAAAGGAGAGGCUGCAAUCGCAAAUUGUUUAAAAAGAAGAAAAAGGAAAGAAAAGUUGAAUGUAAGAGCUCCAGCCCCUCAAUGUGAUCUUGUACGGUUUGCAGUAAGAACAUUUCAUUCUUCCGCAUUUUAUUUUUCCUUUUGCUACUGUUGGUGACAACUAGCAAAAUAAGUGAAAAAUCCUCGUUCAAGUGUUCUGGCAUUAAGAUUGACUGUCACACUGAAUUCUG
rnacentral:lncRNA from 1 species